rnacentral:rRNA from 3 species
GGACUACCGGGGUAUCUAAUCCCGUUUGCUCCCCUGGCUUUCGCGCCUCAGCGUCAGAAGAGGUCCAGCCGUUCGCUUUCGCCACCGGCGUUCCUUCCGAUAUCAACGCAUUUCACCGCUCCACCGGAAGUUCCAACGGCCCCUACCUCGCUCGAGACACGCAGUAUCAAAGGCUGUUUUCCGGUUAAGCCGAAAGAUUUCACCCCUGACUUGCGUAUCCGCCUACGCGCCCUUUAAGCCCAGUGAUUCCGAACAACGUUCGCACGGUUCGUCUUACCGCGGCUGCUGGCAC